rnacentral:tRNA from 1 species
GGAUUGUGGCUCAGUGGUAGAGCGCUCACCUAGCAUGUUUGAGGCCCUGGGUUCGAUCCUCAGCACCA